rnacentral:rRNA from 1 species
AUUGAACGCUGGCGGCAUGCCUUACACAUGCAAGUCGAACGGCAGCACGGGAGCAAUCCUGGUGGCGAGUGGCGAACGGGUGAGUAAAGCAUCGGAACGUGCCCAGUCGUGGGGGAUAACGUAGCGAAAGCUACGCUAAUACCGCAUACAAUCUGUGGAUGAAAGCGGGGGACCGUAAGGCCUCGCGCGAUUGGAGCGGCCGAUGUCAGAUUAGGUAGUUGGUGAGGUAAAGGCUCACCAAGCCGACGAUCUGUAGCUGGUCUGAGAGGACGACCAGCCACACUGGGACUGAGACACGGCCCAGACUCCUACGGGAGGCAGCAGUGGGGAAUUUUGGACAAUGGGCGCAAGCCUGAUCCAGCCAUGCCGCGUGCAGGAUGAAGGCCUUCGGGUUGUAAACUGCUUUUGUACGGAACGAAAAGGUUUGGCCUAAUACGCUGAACUCAUGACGGUACCGUAAGAAUAAGCACCGGCUAACUACGUGCCAGCCGCCGCGGUAACAC